rnacentral:rRNA from 1 species
UACGUAGGGUGCGAGCGUUGUCCGGAAUUACUGGGCGUAAAGAGCUCGUAGGUGGUUUGUCGCGUUGUUCGUGAAAACUCACAGCUUAACUGUGGGCGUGCGGGCGAUACGGGCAGACUGGAGUACUGCAGGGGAGAAUGGAAUUCCUGGUGUAGCGGUGAAAUGCGCAGAUAUCAGGAAGAACACCCGUGGCGAAGGCGGUUCUCUGGGACGGUACUGACGCUGAGACGCGAAAGCGUGGGGAGCGAACAGG